GAUGAACGCUAGCUACAGGCUUAACACAUGCAAGUCGAGGGGCAGCAUGAACUUAUCUUGCUAAGUUUGAUGGCGACCGGCGCACGGGUGAGUAACACGUAUCCAACCUGCCGAUGACUCGGGGAUAGCCUUUCGAAAGAAAGAUUAAUACCCGAUGGCAUAGUUCUUCCGCAUGGUAGUACUAUUAAAGAUUUUCGGUCAUCGUUGGGGAUGCGUUCCAUUAGGUUGUUGGCGGGGUAACGGCCCACCAAGCCUUCGAUGGAUAGGGGUUCUGAGAGGAAGCUCCCCCAGAUUGGAACUGAGACACGGUCCAAACUCCUACGGGAGGCAGCAGUGAGGAAGAUUGGUGAAGGGACGAUAGUCUGAACCAGCCAAGUAGCGUGAAGGAGUACUGCCCUAUGGGUUGUAAACUUCUUGUAUACGAGAAAAAAGUGAGGCACGUGUGCCUUUUUGUAGGUACCGGAUGAAUAAGAAUCGGCUAACUCCGUG
rnacentral:rRNA from 1 species